rnacentral:lncRNA from 1 species
CACGCGGCACGCACCACCUCCCACCGCAACCGGACGCCAGCGCCCCAAGCACCCUCCCCGCCCACCGGGAGUGGGGGCGUGGCCCGCGCCGGACUGCGCUGUCACCGCCCUGCUGCUCCGGCCUUGCCAGGGGCCAAGGCCCGAACCUGAGGCCGGGGAGGGGUGGGGAAGCGCGUCGUGGUACCUAGGGAUUGGGGGAACGUCUAAAAGUGGUGUUUUUCUUGUUUUGGUUUUAAGGCCACCCUGAGGGCCAUCUAAGUCAGUGAUUCUACUUCAGCAUGCACGGACAUCACUCGGGGGCCCGUUGUCACAUCACAGGGCCCCACUCCCAGAGUUUCCUUCUUUCUAACUUUUUCGAGAUAGGGGUCUUGCUAUGCUGCCCAGGUUGGUCUCAAAUUCCCGGCCUCAAGCAGUCCUCCCGCCUCAGCCUCUAAGGUAGCUGGGAUUACAGGCGCCCCCCACUGCUCCCAGCUCCCUAGCGUUUGUGACUCAGUGGGCUUGGGCUGGGGCCUGGAAGUAUUUCUAACAAGGGGAUGCUGAUGCUGGGCUCUGGGGACCGUAUUUAAACCUAUGUGGAUGUGUAUUCAGUUACUUAUAUAGAAAGUUGGGGAUUCUAGAAACAGAACCACUAAUUAAGAAACGUAAUUAAUUGGGGCUUCAUAACUAAAACAUGUCAUGGUUUGGCAGAACUGAAAGGGGCCAGGGUUUUAGCCAUGUUGGCAGAGGGCAGGCAAAAGAGAUGGUGGGUGAGGAGCGUGUUAAGAGCUUACAUUGAUUGACUGAGCACCUACAGGAUGUCCUGUCCAUGAAAUAGGAAUCACAUCAUUCCUGCCUACAUAUAGGACACAACACUGCAGAAAGAUUUCUCAUCGCCAAGGCCCCACAGGGUGGCUUUCAUGGGAUUUGAAGCCAGGCAGCUUAGAGGAAACAUUUCCCCCAUCACUACUAAGCCUGGGCUGGGAGUGAUGUCCUGUAAAGGGGGCCCUGCCGGUCCCCUUGCUGGACUCUUGCUGGUCAUUUUAUGCCCAGUGUGGAAUUCCAUGACUGUGUCUUGACUUGGGCAUGGCAUCUCCAAGAGGCCCCAGGCGCACACGGCCUGUCUUCCUGCAGCAACUCUGAUUUCGGGAAGGACAUUGCUUUUACAUUUAAAUACACAUUGCUACAUUAUGGAGUUAAAUACAAAAUUCACAAGCUAUUUUAAAGAUAAAAUAAGACUUCAAAGAGAUUUUGAGGUGGUGGCGACCCUUUGGGCUACAACCCUCACGGGGGCACAUGCUCACUCCAGGACAGAGAAGGAGGUGAGGGAGGUGCUGGGGCAUAGAAUUUAAGGAGGCAUCACUCUCAGGGUCAUGCAGGUGCACUGGUCCCAGCCCCGGCCCACCCUCCUCUGUGCGGUGGAAAUGCUAGAGGUCCCACCCCCGGGGAGCUCUCAGUGCGUGGGAGGGGCCAACACUAUACAAACUCAGCCCCUGUGGCCAAUGCUGAGAAGGUGGUAUCUGACCUGGUCAGGAGGCCUGUGAGGAAGGUGAGGUGGAAGGAACAGCUCGGACUGCAAGGAAGAACGUGCUGGGCCACGCAGAGGCUCUGUUGGAGGGAGUGUCAGGGGGCUGGACUGGAAGAAGGCCAGGGUGGCCUGAGGGCAGAGAGCACAGAGGAACUGGCGGAGCUGAGGAUGGGAGGGGACAGCCACUCAACCUUGAGCAAUGAGAGGCCGUCAAAAGGUUUUGAGUCAUGAAUGUGACUAACCAGAUUUAAAUUUUGAAAAGAUCAUUCUGGAUACAGGACAAAGAGCAAAUUACUGGGGACAGAAACAAUGAGGUCUAAAGCUGAGAAGGGAAGAGGGCCCAGGACUGAGCUUUGAGCAGCCCUGAUGUUCCCAGGUCAGGAGGAGGAGGAUGAGCCUGCAACAGGGAUAGAGAAUGAACAGCCAGAAGGGUUGGAGGGAAUGGAAGAGGGUUGUUCUCAGAAGCCAAGGAAGGACUUCAGAAGCAGAAACGGUGUGCACCCACCUUGCAGCCCAUGGGGACUUCGGGUCCUCCCCCUUGCCUCCUGAAAGGUGCAGAAACAAUGGGUGAUCUCUGGCUCCCACACCACUCCUCCACUCUGGCACAAUGGAUGGUGGGGAUGGACUGCUUUUCCAAGCUCACUGUCCCCUAAGCUUUCUCCCGGAGACAGGGCCCAGGUCUUCUCUACUCUGAGAUGCAAAGCCCUGAAGUUAAUAGUUAAAUGAUGUUAACAUGUAAACUAACUUCUUGAAAUUUAGACUGUGCAGUCUACCCCCCCCCCCCCCCCGCCCAAGUGUGUUCAGUCCUACUUCAAACAUCAUGUGCCUCCACUGCUAAAAUAUUUACUCCGGGCAUUCAGAGGCUCCAAGCUUUACCGUUUGUUCGUGUUACCUAUUGCUGCAUAACAAGCCACCCCAAACAGGGCUGUUUUUAAAAAUAAUAACAGUAUUUAUUUUCUUUAUUAAUCUGUAGAUUGGGCAGGGCUCUCUCAGGGAUAGCUUGUCUCUUCUCUAUUUGCAGUGGUUUGAAGGCUGGGGCUGGGAUCAUCUGAUCACCAGGUCUGGAGUCUGGGCUGGGAAAUGUCAAACAAUUCAGUUGAAGUCAUUGGAAAGGAAUUUUCCCCUUUGCAUUGAAAACAGAAAUGGUCCUGGACCCUUCCUAGAUAUACCAAGGCAAUGUUACACUCAAACCCUGUAGUCGGAUUCCAUAGGUAGCAUUCUCAAACCCCUCAAGGAAGUCAUAAUUGGUUCCGGCACUGCCUUUUAAGCAUAAAUAUUUGCCAAAUUACCAAAUGUUUCAGCUGUUUCCCAGGCCACACUUGCACAGCCCGAGAUAGUUCAGGUGCUCCCGGUUCGGAUGCUCGACACCAAAAAUUAUGAAUGAGUAGACCAAAAACCUGGAAUAACUUGGCCAAGUAACAAAACCAGGCCUUACAGCUUCCAGACCCAGAUUGCAGGCCUCCUGUAUUAGAUAUUUGGCAAACAGUUCUGCUCUUCCAGGGGCACAUGGAGGUAUGCAGAUCCCAGUAUGACCAAUGACAAGGGUCAUGAAACACAUUAGAUCUGGAGAAUUGCAGGUUCCACUCUGACUUUGACCAUGAACAGCACUGGUCUUUUUUUCUCUUUUUAUUUUAUGUGGCAACAAGGCAUGUAAAGGGUUUUCACUUAAAAGGUCAGGACAGUUUGGACUCAGAUAUCUGGGACCUUCCAUCACCAUGUACUCCACCUUGAAUACUAGCCAAAUUACAAACUUGGGCUCCUUCAUUCAUAUAGUAGUGCCACAUAAACAUACCAGAUGAGAUGUCAUAGAAUACCCACUAUAUCCUCACUCCAAGUUCUUUUCAAUGUCGAGGACCUGAUUUCCAAGUUUUAGAAUUCAUGGCUUGGAAAAGGUGAUCCUAAAUAUUCCCAUGGUAAUAGAACCAGAGUUCAAUACCACUAUGCAAACAUUGGAAGUAUUCCAGUCAGAAAUGAAUAGUUUAGCCACUGUUGUACUCCAAAAUAGUUGUGCCCUGGAUACACUGCCCAACAAGGAGGAGCUUGCACAAUCAUUGGUGAAAAAUUCUGCUUCCUUGUGAAUCAGAUAGGACAAAUGGUGUUUAAUUCGUACCUUUAAAAACAAAGUUAACACUCCAUCAGAUCAAUGAGUCUCAACCAUUUGAUUGGACUGGCCUAUUCCCAGGAUAGGGAGACUGGUUUAAUGGUAUAAGGAGAAGUAUGUUUAGUUUUGUUGUUGUAGUUGUUCUGUUUGUUUAUUCUUGUUCUAAUCCAUCUUCUUCUCUCCUUUUGCAAAUCUCUU